rnacentral:rRNA from 1 species
UACGGAGGUCCCUAGCGUUGUUCGGAUUCAUUGGGCGUAAAGGGUGCGUAGGCGGCGCCGUAAGUCGGGUGUGAAAUUUCGGAGCUUAACUCCGAAACUGCAUUCGAUACUGCGGUGCUUGAGGACUGGAGAGGAGACUGGAAUUCAUGGUGUAGCAGUGAAAUGCGUAGAGAUCAUGAGGAAGACCAGUGGCGAAGGCGGGUCUCUGGACGGUUCCUGACACUGAGGCACGAAGGCCAGGGGAGCAAACGGG